CAUGCAAGUCGAGCGAUGAAACUUUAACAGAACCCUUCGGGGCGAAGAUAAAGUGGAUUAGCGGCGGACGGGUGAGUAACACGUGAGUAACCUGCCUUAGACAUUGGGAUAGCCUCGGGAAACCGGGAUUAAUACCAAAUAAAAUCAUAAUGACACAUGUCAUAACGAUCAAAACUCCGGUGGUCUAAGAUGGACUCGCGUCCCAUUAGCUAGUUGGUAGAGUAAAAGCCUACCAAGGCGACGAUGGGUAGCCGGCCUGAGAGGGUGAACGGCCACAUUGGAACUGAGAAACGGUCCAAACUCCUACGGGAGGCAGCAGUGGGGAAUAUUGCACAAUGGAGGGAACUCUGAUGCAGCGACGCCGCGUGAACGAAGAAGGCUUUCGAGUCGUAAAGUUCUUUUAUAUGGGAAGAUAAUGACGGUACCAUAAGAAAAAGCCCCGGCUAACUACGUGCCAGCAGCCGCGGUAAUACGUAGGGGGCUAGCGUUGUCCGGAAUCACUGGGCGUAAAGGGUUCGCAGGCGGAAAUGCAAGUCAGAUGUAAAAGGCAGUAGCUUAACUACUGUAAGCAUUUGAAACUGCAUAUCUUGAGAAGAGUAGAGGUAAGUGGAAUUUUUAGUGUAGCGGUGAAAUGCGUAGAUAUUAAAAAGAAUACCGGUGGCGAAGGCGACUUACUGGGCUCAUUCUGACGCUGAGGAACGAAAGCGUGGGUAGCAAACAGGAUUAGAUACCCUGGUAGUCCACGCUGUAAACGAUGAGUGCUAGGUGUCGGCGAAUGUCGGUGCCGCAGUUAACACAAUAAGCACUCCGCCUGGGGAGUACGUGCGCAAGCAUGAAACUCAAAGGAAUUGACGGGGACCCGCACAAGCAGCGGAGCAUGUGGUUUAAUUCGAAGCAACGCGA
rnacentral:rRNA from 1 species